AAAAACCACAUCAAUAUUGUAGAUUUUGGAUUCGUCUUUUACAAGUACAAAAAAAACACAUCAAUAUUCCAAGACCUGCUGCUCUAUCUCCCAGUUUCUAUUUGUUUAUAUAAUUUUUCCAGACUAAUUAAGAUUUGAUCUAUAAGAGCAUGAGCAUCAAAAGUUUAUGAAGAAAGCUCUCACACAUCCCAACAAAAAAAAUAUUAUAAUAAUAGAGUCUGAUGAACUCGUCUUACAGGGGUGCCUGACCCCACGCCACGUGGUGGCCCGUUAUUGGUCCGUGUAUUUUUUUAAAAAAUCAAACGAAAAAAAAAAAAUUAAUAAACAAUUAAAGUUGUGAACCUCCCAAGUUCAUUGAUGCGCAUGCUCUAACUUUGUUCUACACAAAGAGUUCAUCAAAGAAACUAAAGUUAUAGCACACAGUUUCUACUAGCAAUGGCAACAAAGGAGUUGAUGUGGCUUUCUCAUAUUCUACAUGAUCUUUGUGUAUCAUAUAGUGCUCAUGCUAGUGUGAUAAUAUGGAUGCUCUCCAUAUUGUGAGUAAUAUAUUUCACUAGCUAGAUGAAUUAAUUUGACUACCACGAAGUUAGAGAUGGUUGAAUCAGGGUUUCUUAUAAAUGUACAUAUCAUCAAAUCGAGAAUAUAUUAUCGAAAACACUCC
rnacentral:lncRNA from 1 species